rnacentral:sRNA from 1 species
CUGCUGCUUCUGGGCCCUACGCGCGCCUUGCGCAAUGCCACCCAGAGGAUGUUUGAAAUUGACUAUAGCCGGGACUGCUUCCUCAAGGAUGGCCAGCCAUUUCGCUACAUCUCAGGAAGCAUUCACUACUCCCGUGUGCCCCGCUUCUACUGGAAGGACCGGCUGCUGAAGAUGAAGAUGGCUGGGCUGAACGCCAUCCAGACGUAUGUGCCCUGGAACUUUCAUGAGCCCUGGCCAGGACAGUACCAGUUUUCUGAGGACCAUGAUGUGGAAUAUUUUCUUCGGCUGGCUCAUGAGCUGGGACUGCUGGUUAUCCUGAGGCCCGGGCCCUACAUCUGUGCAGAGUGGGAAAUGGGAGGAUUACCUGCUUGGCUGCUAGAGAAAGAGUCUAUUCUUCUCCGCUCCUCCGACCCAGAUUACCUGGCAGCUGUGGACAAGUGGUUGGGAGUCCUUCUGCCCAAGAUGAAGCCUCUCCUCUAUCAGAAUGGAGGGCCAGUUAUAACAGUGCAGGGCAUUCAUCAUGAGGUAAUAAGCCUAUUUAUGACUGUUUGGAAGAU